rnacentral:misc_RNA from 1 species
GAUGAAGAACGUAGCGAAAUGCGAUAAGUAGUGUGAAUUGCAGAAUUCAGUGAAUCAUCGAAUCUUUGAACGCACAUUGCGCCCUUUGGUAUUCCUUAGGGCAUGCCUGUUCGAGCGUCAUUUAAACCUUCAAGCUAAGCUUGGUGUUGGGUGACUGCCCGCUUCACGGCGGACUCGCCUCAAAAUUAUUGGCGGCCGGUACAUUGGCUUCGAGCGCAGCAGAAACGCGAACUCGGGCCCGUCGUAUUGGCUCCCAGAAGCUAUCUUCACAAUUUUGACCUCGGAUCAGGUAGGGAUACCCGCUGAACUUAAGCAUAUCAAUAAGCGGAGGA